rnacentral:rRNA from 1 species
AUACGGAGGAUCCGAGCGUUAUCCGGAUUUAUUGGGUUUAAAGGGUGCGUAGGUGGUUGAUAAGUCAGCGGUGAAAGUCAGUGGCUCAACCAUUGAACUGCCGUUGAAACUGGUUGGCUUGAGUACGUACGGGGCAGGCGGAAUGCGUGGUGUAGCGGUGAAAUGCAUAGAUAUCACGCAGAACUCCGAUCGCGAAGGCAGCCUGCCAGGCCGUGACUGACACUGAUGC